UAGAUGCGAGAGUAGAGCAUAUCAAUAAGCGGAGGAAAAGAAACUAACUAGGAUUCCCUCAGUAACGGCGAGUGAAGCGGGAAGAGCUCAAAUUUGAAAUCUUCAAGGUUCUACCUUGACGAAUUGUAGUUUAAAGAAGUGUUUUCUGUAGUGGAGUUUGGUAAAAGUUCUUUGGAAUAGGACAUCAUAGAGGGUGAGAAUCCCGUAUUUGGUCAUUCUUUCUAGCUUUGUGAUACACUUUCAACGAGUCGGAUUGUUUGGGAAUGCAGUCCAAAAUGGGUGGUAAAUUUCAUCUAAAGCUAAAUAUUGGCGAGAGACCGAUAGCGAACAAGUACCGUGAGGGAAAGAUGAAAAGAACUUUGAAAAGAGAGUUAAACAGUACGUGAAAUUGUCAAAAGGGAAGCGUUUGACACCAGUGUUGUUUUUCCGAAAAUCAAUUACGAAUGUUUUGUUUUUGAGGAGUUAUGACUUCAUCGGCUUGCUCCUUUCUUUAUGAAACUUUCUUAAUGCACUUUUCGGUUAACAAGUCAACAUCAAUUUCUUUUGUUGUAAAAGGGUAUGAGGAAGGUGGCUUUCUUUUCGGAGAAAGUGUUUAUAGCCUUGUGCCUCUGCAAUCGGAGAGAUUGAGGUCUGCAGCGUAGAUCCUUCGGGGUUAGAUGCGUUUGUGCUAAGUUAUAGCUUUUCAUAGACAACUUGUUGACUAUGUUUAGUCUUGUAGCUUACUCGCUUAUGCUAUUUUACCUACGCUUAGGAUGUUGACGAGACUGUCGAUCUC
rnacentral:rRNA from 1 species